rnacentral:rRNA from 1 species
GCUGGCGGCGUGCCUAACACAUGCAAGUCGAACGAGAAAGUGGAGCAAUCCAUGAGUAAAGUGGCGACCGGGUGAGUAACACGUGACUAACCUACCCUUGAGUGGGGGAUAACCUCGGGAAACCGGGGCUAAUACCGCAUAACAUCCUUGAAGUGGAAACUUUGGGGAUCAAAGGAGCAAUUCGCUUAAGGAGGGGGUCGCGGCUGAUUAGCUAGUUGGCGGGGUAACGGCCCACCAAGGCUUUGAUCGGUAGCCGGCCUGAGAGGGCGCACGGCCACACUGGAACUGAAACACGGUCCAGACUCCUACGGGAGGCAGCAGUGGGGAAUUUUGCGCAAUGGGGGAAACCCUGACGCAGCAACGCCGCGUGGAGGAUGAAGUCCCUUGGGACGUAAACUCCUUUCGACCGGGACGAUAAUGACGGUACCGGUGGAAGAAGCCCCGGCUAACUUCGUGCCAGCAGCCGCGGUAAUACGAGGGGGGCAAGCGUUGCUCGGAAUUAUUGGGCGUAAAGGGCGCGUAGGCGGUGCGGUAAGUCACCUGUGAAAUCUCUGGGCUCAACUCAGAGCGUGCAGGCGAAACUGCCGUGCUUGAGGGUGGG